GCUCUUUUUGUAAGUUUUCGGUUAAAUCCAUGCGUUUAACGUAUGGGUUGCCGGGAAUAUUGCAUAACUAGGAAGUGGGAGAGGUAGACGGUACUUGGUAGGAAGGGGUAAAAUCCUUUGAUUUAUUGAUGACCACCUGUGGCGAAGGCGGUGUACCAGAACACGUUCGUCGGUGAGGGAUGAAAGCUGGGGGAGCAAACCGGAUUAGAUACCCGGGUAGUCCCAGCUGUAAACUAUGCAAACUCAGUGAUGCAUUGGCUUGUGGCCAAUCCAUUUUUGUGGGGAAGCCGUUAAGUUUGCCGCCUGGGAAGUACGUACGCAAGUAUGUAUCUUAAAGGAAUUGGGGGGGGAGCACCACAAGGG
rnacentral:rRNA from 1 species